AAUCCUGCCCUGAAUAAUUGUUCUGAAAUGUUCUAAAAGGAACUAAAUUUCCUUCUCGAUAGCCUCAGUAAUACUUUGAAGAGAGAAGAAUGAAGGUGAGGACACGCAUUACAUUCUGUAGAGAAUCACACAAUAUCCUGAGUUGGAAGGGACCUACAAGGAAAACCAAGUCCAGCUCGCGGCUCCACACAGCACCACCCAAAUUUCAAACCCUAUGUCUGAGAGCAUUGUCCAAAUGCUUCUUUGAACUCUGGCAGAUUGGGCCCAUGACCUCGGACUGUUCCAUGCCUGACUGGCCUCUGGGGAAGAACUUUUUCCUAACACCCAACCUGACCUUCCCUUGAUACAGCUUUGUCCAGAGAGAGUGAGAGACCCAGACAGCAGUAAGAGCAAGAGGAGGAAGGGAGAGAGAGGAUAAAAGGAAUGUGAUGGUAUCUAUCAGCAGCAUCAAACCAAUAGAGGACUUCUUGGAAAAGAGAAGAAAAUCUUUGUGACAAGAUGUCUGUUUCAAAUUAUACUUAUCUGAACAUUGGUGAUGUUGCAUGCCUACAACACCAGGGCUAGAAAUAGUAUUUAAAUUACUUGACCUCUAAAAGCUACGGACGUGAAGAAAGAACGUUCACCUCCCCAUGCAGCUGUCAGGCAAACACUUCUCAAGGGCAGCAGACCCAAGCCUCUAAGUGUUGCAUCACCUAUGCCAACAGCAGUUUUCCUCCCGCCAGCUCACUCCAUCUUGUUAGGUCUCUUAGUCGCUCAUCACAGCUCCCUCUUGACUCAUGAACCAAUUACGGGUUGUGUACACUUCUGCGGCCACAGUGGUUUCCCCUCCUUUCCAUCCUGACAUACUUCAAAUGCCUGCUCUAGAUAAGGCGCUUGGAACUACUUCUUGUUAGCACUUAGCCAUGCUGAGAACUGCCAGCCUACUGGAUGCCCUGUCCUUCUCAGCCCUCAACUGUGUUUUUCCUCUUCCUGCAGCUAUUUGCUCUAAUAGCAUUUUGUGAAGGACUUUUUGUCAGGUAUUUGUCAUGGACUUUCAGAAAGUCCAAGUGCUCAGUAUUGCCUGGCUCACCGCAGAACAAUCUUGUCCAUGCCUCUAAGGUCUUUGGAGAAUGGGAGUGUUUUAUUUUUGAUUUAAACUCCUGCUUUCUCUUGCAAGUUUCCUUCAUAUUCAGAUGAAGAAGCGAUGCAAAAUUUCACAGGAGGGAAAAGGUGCAUAGCACAGGUAGAUGAGAUACAGAGGAUGAUUAUGCAGGAAUCCUGUGCAACUUGAAUUGUAGGAAAGUCAUCUCAUCUCCUGUGCUGGAAUGUCUCAUGCUGAUGGGUGCAACCCUUUCCCAGUGACUGUGAAAAUCUUGAUAAGGAAAGUGACGAGACACUCAGUGCAGCUAGAGCUCUAAGACUUGGGUUUGCCCUCCCACGCAUUUUGGGUGGGCAGGCAAACCACAGACUGUCAUCUGUGAAGUAAGAAAGCAUUGGGUACAUUUAAUUACUACAUUAGCUCUUGCUAACACUUUCAGUGCCAAGAAUUGGUUGAGAAGGGCUUAGGGUUGUUGUUGUUAGCACUUUGUUUUUACCAGGACAUAGCUUUCAGGGUAGGAGCUCAUGUAUCUGAGAGCUCAAGUCAACUCAUUAAUAGGCACUGCAAUAAACAGACCAGGAAACAGUUGUGGCAGAGCAAGGAGCUGAGUGGCUUUAGUUCAUUCUCAUACAUUUGUUCUAAUUAUUUCUUAAGCUGUCUUUUCACACUCACAAGGUUUUAUCUUUCGAAGUCUUCUACUUCCAAUAGCCUUAUUUCUUCAGAAGAAGAAGAAAAUAAAGCAAAUAAAGGAUCUUCCCAGUUACAAAAAUGUCUCCAGCCCUUGGGAGUUAGGAACCACAGAAAUCCACUCUGAGGAUCUGUGCCUAAGAAUUCAUUUUAACCAGUCCUGUACGUUGUUCACUGCCCAGUCCACUUAGCAGCAGGUGACUGGCCACAGCUCCACCAUAGCUUCUUUUCAGAAGCCCAAAAGACUGAUCCAAAUUCUACAGGGACAACAGCAGCCAGCUCCUGACUUUCACCUUUCCCACGGGUGCAGCCUCUCCAGGAGAUAAAUCGAGCUCACCCCACUGCCUGAGUCUAGGUGAAGGUACAACUGUGUGAGCUGCUCAGAUGUGAGCUGCUGGCUCUCAGGAUGUGUGGGCCUCCAGGAGCUUGCCUGGGCUGUGCUUGGCCAGAGGCAUCACACAGCAAAGUUUUGCCUGCCACCAUGGUAAGUCACGUGGCCCAUUGACCUAAAAAGUUUGGGCACUGGUGCCUUACACAAGAAAGGGAAAUCAUAAUCUCAUUUGGCAGUUUCCCUUUGAGCACAAGCUGAGGCAUCCAGAAUGGGUACAUUGCUGUUCCGAUGUGAUCUAGUUACAUAUUUGGGUAAGCAAAUACCUGAAUCAAAACAAGCUUUGUGACAGAUUUGGGAUCUUUCAGUUAUUUUUCCGUAGUUGGAAUACCUGAAAUGAGUCAGUGCAAAGUCACUAUUGCUUAAUGCUAGAAAAAAAAAAAAAAAGACAAAAAACAACACAAAAUAGUCGAGAGCUUUUCUGUUAGUCAGCAUUUCCUUCCUGAUCCCACAACAGGAACCGAGGUGUGUGCGACACUGCUGCACUCAGCCCUCCCCGCGCACACUUACCUCCUGCUCAC